AAAGGAAACAUCAAUCCCAGCAUAGAAGAUCUCAUCGACUGUAUUGUAUUGUUUCAAGAAAAAAUAUUUGAAGAAAAUGCAAGUCUUCGGACCAUACUCAAAUGUACAAAAUGCAGACAGAACAACCGAAAUGCUUUGUUUCUGCCAUGCUGUCAUUUGAUGUCGUGUAUGUGUUGUGCCCGAGGAAUACGUUUUUGUCCAUCUUGCAACGAAGAGAUAACGGAAACAAAAGAAACAUGUUUUUCUGAGUCACUGCCUUUUGUGAUGAAAGAAAACGCACGUUUGAAAGAUAUAAUAUAUUGUUACCAAUGUAAAACGAGCGAGUCGAACGCACUGUUUUUUCCAUGUGCACACCAUCGAUUUUGUAUGGCCUGUGCGCAUGACAAGAAGCGCUGUGAAGUUUGUGGAAAAAACAUACAUAAAACUAUGAAAACAUACAGGUCAUAAGCUACACGCAGUAAUUUGAAGAAAGCUUCUCCAAAGAACUGUUGCAUUUAACAAAAGUGUGAUUUUUCAACGUGGUAAUAUUAAUUUUCAUAGUCUGCUCAAUCAUGUAGGAAUACAAUUCCUAUACACCACCUAUUGUGACCUUAAUCAGUUAAAUUUUCUACUCGUGUAUCGUACCAAAGUGUUCGUCCUAUGGUAAUUCUUAGUAUGUACGUUUUGCUACUUAUAAAUGUUAUUCUUGCUUAUCCUAAAUGCUAUUAAUUAUGAUAUAUGCGAUAUUAAUAAAGGUCAAGGCUUUGCAUUUAAAGCUGAAAAUCCUGACGGCACAGGGUAGGUAAGGAAUACAUCGUUUUUUUACUUACGAAAUCAGAAUAAGUUUUUAGUCAGUAUUGAUUCCAGCACAAUAUUUGCUAACUGUAUUAGAAAUUCUUUUGUGCAAUUCCAUGUUGUCUAUUGCAUUAAGGACCUUUUGAUGUAAAUACGGGUAAAUGCAGCUUAAGUAACAAAUUAUUCAAUUUAAA